rnacentral:rRNA from 1 species
AUGCUUCUCCUAAAGACUAAGCCAUGCAUGUCUUCGAAUAAGAGGUAGCAAUUCUCUCUGAAUCUGCGAACGGCUCCGCAAACCAGUUGUAAACUAUAGCAAGCAAGCCCGGGUUUGCCCUUCACGGGGCAGGCUCGGGCAAAACGGAUAUCCCUGGUAAUUCUGAGGCUAAUACGAGAACGCAAUACUUGGUCGACUGGGCAACUGGAAGGCUGGGAGGCGUGCACGUUGUGUCGCGAGAAAUCGCCGGGAAUGGAUG